rnacentral:rRNA from 1 species
GCCUGCAUGAAGCCGGAAUUGCUAGUAAUGGCAGGUCAGCAUACUGCCGUGAAUACGUUCCCGGGCCUUGUACACACCGCCCGUCACACCAUGAGAGUUGGGAAUACCCGAAGCCUGUGAGCUAACUAUUUAUAGAGGCAGCAGUCGAAGGUAGAAUCAAUGAUUGGGGUGAAGUCGUAACAAGGUAAC